rnacentral:rRNA from 1 species
GAUGAACGCUGGCGGCGUGCCUAAUACAUGCAAGUCGAGCGGCAGCACGGUCUUCGGACUGGUGGCGAGCGGCGGACGGCUGAGUAAUGCGUAGGAAUAUACCCCGAAGUGAGGAAUAACUGCCCGAAAGGGUGGCUAAUGCCGCAUGUGAUCUUUGGAUUAAAGCUUUUAAGCGCUUUGGGAAUAGCCUACGUUCGAUUAGCUAGUUGGUAGGGUAAAGGCCUACCAAGGCGACGAUCGAUAGCUGGUCUGAGAGGAUGAUCAGCCAGACUGGAACUGAGACACGGUCCAGACUCCUACGGGUGGCAG